rnacentral:lncRNA from 1 species
AAUUAGUAUGCGUGUGUGUGUCGCAGAUGCGGGAGGCAGGUUCCAGGAAUCAAUGAACUGGGCAUUGUCAGUGUUGGUUUAGGAUAUCAAGAGUCCCGUUGGCAGCUCACUCAACACUUGCACGUGCAUUGCACAAAAGCGGUUGUAAUUGACGGUUUAACUCGAUGGGAUUGAUGGAUGGGCACAGAACCUCCCUAAUCGACAACGAUAUCUGAUUCCUGUCCAGGGGUUCUAGUAUGCAGAUUCGGAAACACCAUCCAACGAGCUCUUUAUCAGGGCGUGGACAGCUCUCGGUUUUUGGUUCGGCACUCGCAGGGGGCGUCGCCUGGCCAGAGUCUUCUCUUCUGUUAUCUUCUCUUGUGUUGUUUUGUGAUUAUGACCCUACUUGGAGAAAGGAUAAACUAAUGCGUGUGUAAUUCACACGUUUUUUUUAAAUUUAUUGAGCAACUAGCAAAGGAAUAUACCAUAGGUACAUAAUCUUUGAAAUUUUAAAAGUAAAGAAUGCUCGAAAGUUUUUUGAAAUAUAUUCUUAGUAAAUACAAAUUUAUAUUUUGAUUUAAAUUGUAUUUUGAUUUAUUGAAUUAUUUUAUGUUAACUAUAAAUAAAUAAGAGUAAAGUUAA